rnacentral:pre_miRNA from 1 species
UCUUAUGGAAGAUCAGAGAAAGUGGUUUCUUGAGAUGGAAUCUACUCCUGGUGAAGAUGCUGUGAA